AAAUUGAAGAGUUUGAUCAUGGCUCAGAUUGAACGCUGGCGGCAGGCCUAACACAUGCAAGUCGAACGGUAACAGGAAUCAGCUUGCUGAUUCGCUGACGAGUGGCGGACGGGUGAGUAAUGUCUGGGAAACUGCCUGAUGGAGGGGGAUAACUACUGGAAACGGUAGCUAAUACCGCAUAACG
rnacentral:rRNA from 1 species